GUUUUUAAGAAGCGUGAGUAGCUCAAUCUCUUCAGUUUUCAGACUGGUUUGGAUGUGUCUGUGGUUGGAUUCCUUCUUCACGCUGGGACUGGUAAACUGAAGGCAUUAUGAAAGCAUCUGUUGGAGUGUGUGUGGUGUUCGUUCUGGCUCUGGUGGGGGCUUGGCUCUGCCAUUAAAUGUUACAGUUGUAGAGACUACACGGGCAACAUGCUCUAAAAUUCGAGACUGCUACUAUGAUGAUGCCUGUGUGACC